GUGCCAGCAGCCGCGGUAAUACGUAGGUGGCAAGCGUUAUCCGGAAUUAUUGGGCGUAAAGCGCGCGUAGGCGGUUUUUUAAGUCUGAUGUGAAAGCCCACGGCUCAACCGUGGAGGGUCAUUGGAAACUGGAAAACUUGAGUGCAGAAGAGGAAAGUGGAAUUCCAUGUGUAGCGGUGAAAUGCGCAGAGACAUGGAGGAACACCAGUGGCGAAGGCGACUUUCUGGUCUGUAACUGACGCUGAUGUGCGAAAGCGUGGGGAUCAAACAGGAUUA
rnacentral:rRNA from 1 species